UUGCUUUCGCAGCACAUAUACUAAAAUUGGAACGACACAGAGAAGAUGAGCGUGGCCCCAGCUCAAGGAUGACAUGCAAAUUCGUGAAGCGUUCCAUAUGUAA
ensembl:snRNA U6 U6 spliceosomal RNA